CCUACGGGGGGCAGCAGUGAGGAAUAUUGGUCAAUGGACGCAAGUCUGAACCAGCCAUGCCGCGUGCAGGAAGACGGCUCUAUGAGUUGUAAACUGCUUUUGUACGAGGGUAAACGCAGAUACGCGUAUCUGUCUGAAAGUAUCUUACGAAUAAGGAUCGGCUAACUCCGUGCCAGCAGCCGCGGUAAUACGGAGGAUUCAAGCGUUAUCCGGAUUUAUUGGGUUUAAAGGGUGCGUAGGCGGUCGGGUAAGUUAGUGGUGAAAUCCCGAGGCUCAACUUCGGAAUUGCCUCUGAUACUGGUCGUCUAGAGAGUAGUUGCGGUAGGCGGAAUGUAUGGUGUAGCGGUGAAAUGCUUAGAGAUCAUGCAGAACACCGAUUGCGAAGGCAGCUUACCAAGCUACUACUGACGUUGAGGCACGAAAGCGUGGGGAGCAAACAGGAUUAGAUACCCUAGUAGUC
rnacentral:rRNA from 1 species